UAAUAAUAAGAAGAAUUUGUUCUUAAGCACGAAAUCAGCAAAUUAUUAUUUUUUUAAAUAUCAACAUAAAAUUGGCAAGGCUGUUGGCAGGGUUAUCAGCUAUGAAAGGAACUGGUUUUCAUGAUCAAUUCAUUAUCAGAGCUUAAAAAUGUCAUGAUUCUAUUUUAAUGUUGUGGCGUCAUUUGGAAACAUGGUGUCUUAAAUGUACUCUCACUCCAAGCCAAGUGCUUAAUCAGUCUUUCAUGCCUCAUCUGCUGUGUGAAAUCUGGAAAUAACACAUCAUUAUCCUCUUGGAGUCACUUUUUUCUUAACUCUUUAUUCACUUUUACCUUUUAUUGCUUUGUCCUGGUGUAAGGUAUUCAUUCACAAUGCAUGUAUUAAAAUGGUUGAAAAUUUUCAAAAAGCAAUUUUCUCUUAUCAUUAAAGGUUGAAGAAGUCCCACUGAACAUCUCAUCUGCAACUGUUGCACCUAACGACCUGCAGGAUAUCAGCACAGAGCAGGGCUGGACUGGGACAAAAAAAGGGCCCUGGCAUUUUUGCUCAGACUGGCCCACCACAAUCGGUCGGACACAACCAACCAGUACACCAUCCUUGCGGUCGCUGUAGAUAUGAAUUUCUACCGUUCUAUCCCCAAAAACCCUUACAAAGCUGAGAACUAAGUGCCGUGGACCAGUGUCCCAGAGCAAGUGGACCAGUGUACUCAUUCUCUCUUGACUGACUCCCUGGUGAUCAAAGAGGGAGACGCACAAAAGUGAGGAAGAAAACCAAGUACACAAUACUAGACAAUAUGGAUGAGCAGGAGAGGAUGGAGCUGCAGCCAAAGUACAACAUUAAACACAGGAGCACAGAACACAACUCCAGCCUGCUGAUGUCAGAAUCAGAGCUGGACAGUGAGCAGGACAACCUUUUUAACAACGGGAAAUCUCGAAACAGAGCAAAUGGAGCUGUCAGAAAUGGAGACACUCUCAGCCUUUGUCCUGUGGAAGGUUGAGUCUCACAUGGACAUUUCUUUAUAGUGGAUAUUUACAAUGCAAUGGUAUUGUUGAAUACUCCACAAAUACAGAUUUAGACCGGCUGAAUGAAUGGGCUGCUAAACUUAUCGACUAUUGAAUGCAGUUAGUCUUGUAAUGGAAUAUUCCCCUUUUCUGAAUGAUACUGUCAAUUACCAAUCGUAUAUUCAUUUUGAAUAUAAAAAGAUCUUGCAUUCAACUCACAUAAUCGCAGUUGAUCUCACUAUGUUCUUAAUAAUGCUUGUAUGUUCAGAGACGCAGUGCAAGCAAUUGGUUAUUUUGUUAUUUAUAUGAUGCUUCUAUAAUAGAAUUUGGGGAGAAGUUGUAAAUAACUGAUGCAUAGAAUGGCAAAAUCAUAAAAGUAAGAAAAUGCCAUUCUUCUUUAUGCACAACAUUUGUAUAGAAUUUUCUGAAUGUUAAUGUGCCUGAUUGAAAUGCAUUAUUUUAUUAUUUUUGUUAAAGUUUGUUGUUAUACUGAUACUGUACACUGGUCUUUGUCUUAAUAGCAUUUUGGAUUUUGAACCUUUUAAAAAUGUCUGCUUUAGUUAGAAUUGCAAUAGAUGCCAGUUGUACCAAAGCCACUGAUCUAUAUUAUAGAUCAGUGAUCAAAGCACAUUUUGACAAGGAGAUGCAUUUCUCCUAUUUUCUUUUUUGUUUUAAUGCAGCUGGUGAUGCAAAAAAUUCAAGACAUAUGGCCCUUUACAGAGGUUAGACUGUUUUAUAACCAAAACAACCAUUCAAUAUUUAUAGUAUCCGUGGCAGAAAUCCAAUGAAUCUGAAUUCACAUAAACAACAGUGUGCAUAUUAAUGAAAAGGGCACAACUAUACGAUCAGCAGAAAUUGAAAUGUCCAGAUUUGAAGUUUCUUUACCAAGGCUUUCAGCUGUAUAUUUAGUCAUUGUACUUUCAUGUGCUUUUAUCUGCAAAAAUGUCACUCCUAAAGUAAGAAAAUGAAUAUACUUUUAAACAUAUUUUCAUACAUAUUACAGUUCAAAAUACAAUUAGGUAUAUCAAUAUAGAAAUAAUAUUUUCAACAAUUAAAAAAAUAAAAAUUAAAUCAUUUAAAACAGAACAGUUGUUGUUGUUUUUUAAAUACACUUGCAAUUACAACAUUUGGCCACAGACAAAACUUGUUAACUUGCUUGACUAAUCUCUAUGAUUUAAUUCCUCAAAUAAGAACUGUCUAUCCAGAAGCAUGAGCACCCAAAAACAUCCCAUCACAGUCAAUGAUUCAAUGGUUCAUUACAAAAAUAGAACACUCAGUAAGUUUCCCCCUCACUUAAUUGUGAAUUGGGAUUUCUCUUUCUCUUUUUCUUUUCAAUCUAAAAUUAAAGGGUUGGUUCACCCAAAAAUGAAAAUGAUGUCAGUUCGAUUUGGUGAACUGGUUCAAAAAGAUCCGGUUACAUCGAAUGAUUC